rnacentral:rRNA from 1 species
CACAAGCGGGUGAGCAUGUGGUUUAAUUCGAUGCAACGCGAAGAACCUUACCUACCCUUGACAUCCAGAGAAGUUGGCAGAGAUGCCUUCGUGCCUUCGGGAGCUCUGAGACAGGUGCUGCAUGGCUGUCGUCAGCUCGUGUUGUGAAAUGUUGGGUUAAGUCCCGUAACGAGCGCAACCCUUGUCCUUAUUUGCCAGCGAGUAAAGUCGGGAACUCUAAGGAGACUGCCGGUGACAAACCGGAGGAAGGUGGGGACGACGUCAAGUCAUCAUGGCCCUUACGGGUAGGGCUACACACGUGCUACAAUGGCCGGUACAAAGGGUUGCGAGACCGCGAGGUGGAGCGAAUCCCAGAAAGCCGGCCUCAGUCCGGAUCGGAGUCUGCAACUCGACUCCGUGAAGUCGGAACCCCUAGUAAUCGGAAUCAGAAUACG